GCCCUGGUAGCUCAGCUGGUAGAGCGCAUGCCACGCAAGGCCUUGGCCUUGCCGCGGCAGCCCAGGUUCAAAUCCGGCUUGGGCC